GGCGAGGCCGAAAGGCGUAGUCGAUGGGAAACAGGUUAAUAUUCCUGUACUUGGUGUUACUGCGAAGGGGGGACGGAGAAGGCUAUGUCAGCCGGGCGACGGUUGUCCCGGUUUAAGCAUGUAGGCGGAGGUUCCAGGUAAAUCCGGUACCUUAUUAACGCUGAGGUGUGAUGACGAGGCACUACGGUGCUGAAGUGAUAAAUGCCCUGCUUCCAGGAAAAGCCUCUAAGCAUCAGGUAACACGAAAUCGUACCCCAAACCGACACAGGUGGUCAGGUAGAGAAUACCAAGGCGCUUGAGAGAACUCGGGUGAAGGAACUAGGCAAAAUGGUGCCGUAACUUCGGGAGAAGGCACGCUGAUAUGUAGGUGAAGUCCCUGCGGACGGAGCUGAAAUCAGUCGAAGAUACCAGCUGGCUGCAACUGUUUAUUAAAAACACAGCACUGUGCAAACACGAAAGUGGACGUAUACGGUGUGACGCCUGCCCGGUGCCGGAAGGUUAAUUGAUGGGGUUAGCGGCAACGCGAAGCUCUUGAUCGAAGCCCCGGUAAACGGCGGCCGUAACUAUAACGGUCCUAAGGUAGCGAAAUUCCUUGUCGGGUAAGUUCCGACCUGCACGAAUGGCGUAAUGAUGGCCAGGCUGUCUCCACCCGAGACUCAGUGAAAUUGAACUCGCUGUGAAGAUGCAGUGUACCCGCGGCAAGACGGAAAGACCCCGUGAACCUUUACUAUAGCUUGACACUGAACACUGGUCCUUGAUGUGUAGGAUAGGUGGGAGGCUUUGAAGCGUGGACGCCAGUCUGCGUGGAGCCAACCUUGAAAUACCACCCUUUAAUGGCUGGUGUUCUAACGUAGACCCGUAAUCCGGGUUGCGGACAGUGUCUGGUGGGUAGUUUGACUGGGGCGGUCUCCUCCCAAAGAGUAACGGAGGAGCACGAAGGUUGGCUAAUCCUGGUCGGACAUCAGGAGGUUAGUGCAAUGGCAUAAGCCAGCUUGACUGCGAGCGUGACGGCGCGAGCAGGUGCGAAAGCAGGUCAUAGUGAUCCGGUGGUUCUGAAUGGAAGGGCCAUCGCUCAACGGAUAAAAGGUACUCCGGGGAUAACAGGCUGAUACCGCCCAAGAGUUCAUAUCGACGGCGGUGUUUGGCACCUCGAUGUCGGCUCAUCACAUCCUGGGGCUGAAGUAGGUCCCAAGGGUAUGGCUGUUCGCCAUUUAAAGUGGUACGCGAGCUGGGUUUAGAACGUCGUGAGACAGUUCGGUCCCUAUCUGCCGUGGGCGCUGGAGAAUUGAGGGGGGCUGCUCCUAGUACGAGAGGACCGGAGUGGACGCAUCACUGGUGUUCGGGUUGUCAUGCCAAUGGCACUGCCCGGUAGCUAAAUGCGGAAGAGAUAAGUGCUGAAAGCAUCUAAGCACGAAACUUGCCCCGAGAUGAGUUCUCCCUGAGACUUUAAGUCUCCUGAAGGAACGUUGAAGAC
rnacentral:rRNA from 1 species